rnacentral:rRNA from 1 species
UACGUAGGGGGGCUAGCGUUGUCCCGGAAUCAUUGGGCGUAAAGCGCGCGUAGGCGGCCAGAUAAGUCCGGUGUGAAAGUCACAGGCUCAACCUGUGAAUGCCGCUGGAAACUGUCUGGCUAGAGUCCGGAAGGGGCGAGUGGAAUUCCUGGUGUAGCGGUGAAAGUGCGCAGAUAUCAGGAGGAACACCAAUGGCGAAGGCAGCUCGCUGGGACGGUACUGACGCUGAGGCGCGAAAGCGUGGGAGCGAACAGG